AUUUGUUCAAAGUAACAAUCAUAAGAAAAUAUUAUUUUCAUAUAUCUAUGAUAAAGUUCUUUAUUGCAUUCAUAUAAGAACAUAAGAGAAGUACACAUAACAUUGAUAAAUCUUAAUAACAUAUUUGAUCUUUCCAGCUUAUGUCUCUAGUUCAGGGGAAGAUAGCGUAGUGAUCUCAUCUGAGAAAUUGUUUCAGGCAUAAACAUGGUGUUCUCGUUGUUAGUGGGUGGGCUUGGAGGAGGGUUUUGUGUAGGAGAUGAUGGAACUGGUGGGGGUUGAAUUUUACCGGUUUUGUCUGUGGACGGUUCUGCGAUUGUUUGAACGGAUAUUAGUAGAAGAAGACAUAGAGAAACCUCCAUUGUUGUUGCAGAUAACUUCAUGUUUCUUUUGUUGGUGUUUUGUGUCAUAUGAGCUUAGCAGAGGACCUGUAUUGUUUUGUAGUUGUAUGGAAGCCCGGUUAUUGUUUUGUUUUGAUAAGUUAAGUGUAUU
rnacentral:lncRNA from 1 species